AGUCGAGCGAGUCUGCCUUGAAGAUCGGAGUGCUUGCACUCUGUGAAACAAGAUACAGGCUAGCGGCGGACGGGUGAGUAACACGUGGGUAACCUGCCCAAGAGAUCGGGAUAACACCUGGAAACAGAUGCUAAUACCGGAUAAUAACAGAUGAUGCCUAUCAACUGUUUAAAAGAUGGUUCUGCUAUCACUCUUGGAUGGACCUGCGGUGCAUUAGCUAGUUGGUAGGGUAACGGCCUACCAAGGCGAUGAUGCAUAGCCGAGUUGAGAGACUGAUCGGCCACAUUGGGACUGAGACACGGCCCAAACUCCUACGGGAGGCAGCAGUAGGGAAUCUUCCACAAUGGACGCAAGUCUGAUGGAGCAACGCCGCGUGAGUGAAGAAGGGUUUCGGCUCGUAAAGCUCUGUUGUUGGUGAAGAAGGACAGGGGUAGUAACUGACCUUUGUUUGACGGUAAUCAAUUAGAAAGUCACGGCUAACUACGUGCCAGCAGCCGCGGUAAUACGUAGGUGGCAAGCGUUGUCCGGAUUUAUUGGGCGUAAAGCGAGUGCAGGCGGUUCGAUAAGUCUGAUGUGAAAGCCUUCGGCUCAACCGGAGAAUUGCAUCAGAAACUGUCGAGCUUGAGUGCAGAAGAGGAGAGUGGAACUCCAUGUGUAGCGGUGAAAUGCGUAGAUAUAUGGAAGAACACCGGUGGCGAAGGCGGCUCUCUGGUCUNNNNNUGACGC
rnacentral:rRNA from 1 species